UGGCUCGAUUGACGCUGGCGGCAUGCUUAAUACAUGCAAGUCGAACGGUAACAGGCCGCGGGGAUCNNUUCGGGGUGAACUUGGCGCUGACGAGUGGCGAACGGGUGAGUAAUGCUUAGGAAUCUACCCUGUAGUGGGGGACAACCCGAGGAAACUCGGGCUAAUACCGCGUAAGCUCUACGGAGGAAAGCGGGGGAUCUUUGGACCUCGCGCUAUUGGAUGAGCCUAAGUCGGAUUAGCUUGUUGGUAGGGUAAUGGCCUACCAAGGCGACGAUCCGUAGCUGGUCUGAGAGGACGACCAGCCACACUGGGACUGAGACACGGCCCAGACUCCUACGGGAGGCAGCAGUAGGGAAUAUUGGACAAUGGGCGCAAGCCUGAUCCAGCAAUGCCGCGUGUGUGAAGAAGGCCUGCGGGUUGUAAAGCACUUUCAGUGGGGAAGACAAACUCGAGGUUAAUACCCUCGGGUCUCGACGUUACCCACAGAAGAAGCACCGGCCAACUCCGUGCCAGCAGCCGCGGUAAUACGGAGGGUGCGAGCGUUAAUCGGAAUUACUGGGCGUAAAGCGCACGCAGGUGGCUGGGUCAGUCGGAUGUGAAAUCCCCGGGCUUAACCUGGGAAUUGCAUUCGAAACUGCCCGGCUAGAGUAUGGGAGAGGGAAGUGGAAUUCCCGGUGUAGCGGUGAAAUGCAUAGAUAUCGGAAGGAACACCAGUGGCGAAGGCGGCUUCCUGGCCCAAUACUGACACUCAGGUGCGAAAGCGUGGGGAGCAAACAGGAUUAGAUACCCUGGUAGUCCACGCCGUAAACGAUGAGAACUAGAUGUCGGGGGGGAUUAGCCCCUCGGUGUCGCAGCUAACGCAUUAAGUUCUCCGCCUGGGGAGUACGCCGGCAACGGUAAAACUCAAAGGAAUUGACGGGGACCCGCACAAGCGGUGGAGCA
rnacentral:rRNA from 1 species